rnacentral:lncRNA from 1 species
GUCUUCCGGCAGGGGUGCAGGAGAAGGACUCAGGUCUACUUAAGGGGCAGGCCACUGAGAGUUUGACGAUGCUCCAGCAUCACCUACGUGUCUGGUGUACAUGGAGAUCAGAAGAGAAGAUUAGAUCCUCUGCACCUGAAGUUACAGAUGGUUGUGAGCCACCGUGUGGGCUGCAAGAGCAACAGGCGUAUUAGCAGCUCUUUAAGCAGCUGAGGCCCCAGCUGCACUGCAGAUGGACGAAGCCUGCAGAGACUGAAUGGUCACAACACCCUGGCUGAGAGAAGAAAGGCAGGUGCAGGAGUUAUGAGAUCGCCAUGGAAACAUGCUUCCUGGCUAGAUACACAUCUUGGUUUCUCACCCCCGUCUGCGACUGUGUGGUGCCUAGUGUAUAUAAAAUAAGGUCCUGCUUUAAGCUUGGCUGUUUCUGAGAAGACCCCACAGCUGCUAGUAGCCUUUGUCCUCUUGCGUUUCUGAGGGGAAAUUGGUUGAGUUGCCUUCACAUAUGAAGAGAAAAAGCAUAAAAGACCACUGGCUUUGUUGCAAACACCUGGAGAAUGCUGGUCCCUUGCAAGUCAAUAAGUGUUGAAUUAUGCAUGGGAGUAUCACCAAGUCACAUUUAUUAUUAAUCUUUGGGUUAUAGUGGUCAGGGGAUGGGGAGAGCAACCCAAGGAAGACCCCGGCCAGGAAGAGUCACAACAGAGAAAAUUCAGUUUGUGCCAAAGAGCAGAAGUGUGUUAUCUCUCCA